GAGAAUCAAUUAAUUCUUAAAUUAAAAGAUUCUAGAUUUGUUCAAUUCACUAUGUGUUCGAUGUCCUCAAUAUGGUCAUGGAGAAGAUUUCUCCCGGACAAUAGCAAGUGAAAAAAAAAGGUAUGAUCCACUAUUUUAAUUCAUUUUUCUUAGUUUUGUGCAAGAGUUUUAGGGAUUAGAUCUUCCUUCCGCUAUUACUUUUUUCAUUAAUCUUCGAUAGACGUAUUUGAUAUCUGUCAUGUGAAUAAAAGAUCUGAAAUUAUUUUAUCGUUCAUCAUAAAUUUCUUUAAUGAUAAUAUUUUUUUCAAUUUCUUACUAUUGAAGUUAUCAUAGGACAAGGAGAAGAUAAAGAGGUUGUUUUUUAAAGAUCCCGAAUCAGGUAAAAUUGAGUUUGCGUAGUUGCAUCUCAAAAUUAUUUAUAAUGAUAGUAAACUUGGUGUCUUAUUCCACUUAUCCCUGAGAUAAAUCGUACUCUUCAAAAUCAUAAAACUGACCAAUGUAACAGAGAAGCUACAAGCAUUUCCACAAAAUUGCGAGAAAAUAUUCUUAUGUUUGAACAUGCCUCACAUCAAGUUUCAGAAGCUCAAUAUAAAUCAAAAUGGAAAAGAAGGUUUUCCAAACUAGCAGUAUGUAUCUACGCAAUAUGAAUUCAGAUCAGAAUCCAUAUUUGAGAAAAUUAAAAGAAGUAAAAUUGUUGAGUAUAUUGCGAAAGAGAGAGAGCCUGUCUGUGGCAAUAGCUGAGCCCCUGCAGACAUUCAAGAAUAUAUACAGCAGCGGGAGGAUUAGGUUUGUUUUGUUUUGUUUUGUUUUCUAAGCUUUAGUUUUACUGUAUCGAUGUAGAAGAGGUGAGCAAGCUACACAACUUUGGUCAAUUUUUGCUAGUAACAUUUACAUGCACUUACCAUUAAAUAUGUGAAAGAAAAUUCACUUGAUAUGACUAUUAUUUUUAUUAGAUCUAUGUAUUUAGUGUUAUGAAUGUUAUAAGCUCUAUUUGGGUG
rnacentral:lncRNA from 1 species